AUUGAACGCUGGCGGCAGGCCUAACACAUGCAAGUCGAGCGGAUGAAGGGGGCUUGCUCCUGGAUUCAGCGGCGGACGGGUGAGUAAUGCCUAGGAAUCUGCCUGGUAGUGGGGGAUAACGUCCGGAAACGGGCGCUAAUACCGCAUACGUCCUGAGGGAGAAAGUGGGGGAUCUUCGGACCUCACGCUAUCAGAUGAGCCUAGGUCGGAUUAGCUAGUUGGUGGGGUAAAGGCCUACCAAGGCGACGAUCCGUAACUGGUCUGAGAGGAUGAUCAGUCACACGGGAACUGAGACACGGUCCAGACUCCUACGGGAGGCAGCAGUGGGGAAUAUUGGACAAUGGGCGAAAGCCUGAUCCAGCCAUGCCGCGUGUGUGAAGAAGGUCUUCGGAUUGUAAAGCACUUUAAGUUGGGAGGAAGGGCAGUAAGUUAAUACCUUGCUGUUUUGACGUUACCAACAGAAUAAGCACCGGCUAACUUCGUG
rnacentral:rRNA from 1 species